rnacentral:rRNA from 1 species
CCUUGACAUACUAAGAACUUUCCAGAGAUGGAUUGGUGCCUUCGGGAACUUAGAUACAGGUGCUGCAUGGCUGUCGUCAGCUCGUGUCGUGAGAUGUUGGGUUAAGUCCCGCAACGAGCGCAACCCUUUUCCUUAUUUGCCAGCGGGUCAUGCCGGGAACUUUAAGGAUACUGCCAGUGACAAACUGGAGGAAGGCGGGGACGACGUCAAGUCAUCAUGGCCCUUACGGCCAGGGCUACACACGUGCUACAAUGGUCGGUACAAAGGGUUGCUACCUCGCGAGAGGAUGCUAAUCUCAAAAAGCCGAUCGUAGUCCGGAUCGCAGUCUGCAACUCGACUGCGUGAAGUCGGAAUCGCUAGUAAUCGCGGAUCAGAAUGCCGCGGUGAAUACGUUCCCGGGCCUUGUGCACACCGCCCGUCACACCAUGGGAGUUUGUUGCACCAGAAGUAGGUAGUCUAACCGCAAGGAGGACGCUUACCACGGUGUGGCCGAUGACUGGGGUGAAGUCGUAACAAGGUAAGCGUAGAUGA